CGGCGGACGGGUGAGUAACGCGUAGGAAUCUGCCCGGUAGUGGGGGGACAACAGUCGGAAACGACUGCUAAUACCGCAUACGCCCUAAGGGGGAAAGCAGGGGAUCUUCGGACCUUGCGCUAUCGGAUGAGCCUGCGUCGGAUUAGCUUGUUGGUGGGGUAAUGGCCUACCAAGGCGACGAUCCGUAGCUGGUCUGAGAGGAUGAUCAGCCACACUGGGACUGAGACACGGCCCAG
rnacentral:rRNA from 1 species